CGGCCGGGGAGCGCCACCGGCUGUGGGUCGGGCCUCUUCGGGUCCGAUCUGCCCUCCACGGGAGAAGAAAGAAGGGGAGGAAGAAAAAGAAGAAGAGAGGAAGAAGAAGAAAAUAAAUAAAAUAGAAAUACUUACCGGUGGUCGAUCCGCGGGCGUCGACCUCUGCCGCGGGUCAUCGGCCGUGGGAUGCGGGACGCCGAUGCGGCCACGGGCACGACCGCAGGCACAGCUGCGGGCGCGACCGUGGGCGCCGCAGGCCGGGCGCUGGACGCCGUCGGCCAUUGCUCGUCCCUCCCGAGCCUCCUUGCCUCGUGGGAGGAGAAGAGAAGUAGAGGGGGAGGAGAUCGCGGUGGAAAUGGAAGAAGAAGGGAGAAGCUUCGGAAAGGAAGAGUCGGGAAGAGUGGAGAAGAAAGAAAAGAAAAAGAAGAAAAGAAAAGAAAAGAAAAGAAAAGAAAAAGAAAAUAAAAUAAAAUAAAAAAUGGAUGUGGGCCGAAUUGGGCCUGAUUCCGACAGUGGGCUUUAAAUGAACCGGGCUUUAAAGGUCCGAAGCCGGGCUGGGCCCUAGUCUAAGCCCAAUAUUCUUAAACCCA
rnacentral:lncRNA from 1 species